rnacentral:rRNA from 1 species
GACGAACGCUGGCGGCGUGCUUAACACAUGCAAGUCGAACGAGAGCGUAGAGAAAGCUUGCUUUUUCUACAAUCUAGUGGCAAACGGGUGAGUAACGCGUAAACAACCUGCCCUACGGAUGGGGACAACAGCUGGAAACGGCUGCUAAUACCGAAUACGUUCCGAAAGUCGCAUGACUAUCGGAAGAAAGGAUGGCCUCUAUUUAUAAGCUAUCGCCGGAGGAGGGGUUUGCGUCUGAUUAGCUAGUUGGAGGGGUAACGGCCCACCAAGGCGACGAUCAGUAGCCGGUCUGAGAGGAUGAACGGCCACAUUGGAACUGAGACACGGUCCAGACUCCUACGGGAGGCAGCAGUGGGGAAUCUUCCGCAAUGGGCGAAAGCCUGACGGAGCAACGCCGCGUGAGUGAAGACGGCCUUCGGGUUGUAAAGCUCUGUUAUACGGGACGAAUAAUCUUGUGGUUAAUACCCAUGAGAAGUGACGGUACCGUAAGAGAAAGCCACGGCUAACUACGU